GGAUCGCUAUACCAGUCAAUCGGGAUCGCCUCGAUCACGAACAAGAACAGUUCCGUCGGCGCCGCUACAGGAGUCAGGAGACGAAAAAAAGGAGACGAUAGUCUUGUCGGUGGUCGCCUUUGCCUCAUCAGAGCGAUCGGAUUCAGACCGCUGUCGUUGCUGUCCUAGCUUCCUCUCUUAAUUUUCAGACUCGUCGUCUCGUCGGAUCAGUCCGUGAUCGAUUGACCGACUCCAGCCUCCAGGGAUCGUUACUUCGUUAGAGAUUGGUCUUACCUCCUCAAUUAAAGAUCACAGUGUAGCAGUUCAACCGGACAUGGCCCAAAACUGGUGCACGGCCAGAGUCAUCGGAGCUAGAUGUUUGCACUGCUUCCGAGAGCUGCGGGAGCACGUCAACCUGAGCGCGCAGGUGCACGGUGUAGUCCACGGCCUCGCGCAACAGAGUGGCCUCAUC